rnacentral:lncRNA from 10 species
GAAAAAGACUCGCUAUGACAGUGGACAGGACCUAGAUGAGGAGGGCAUGAAUAUGGGUGAUUUUGAUCCAAACAAUAUCUUCAAGGCAUUCUUUGGCGGUCCUGGCGGCUUCAGCUUUGAAGCAUCUGGUCCAGGGAAUUUCUUUUUUCAAUUUGGCUAAUGAAGGGCAACCACCCAGAACCCAGAAAAUGCAGAUUCACUCAGUUUAAUCUUGAAUGUGGAAACAGUUCACCUCCUCCCUUCAUCACGUCUCCGUGUGCUUAGAGCAGUUUCGUUUUCUCAGUUGGAUGCCCUGUGUCUCUGUGAGUGGGGUGGAGCAAAGGGAACCAAUGCCGAAGACCGAGGGCAGGGGAGGGAGGCGGGGGUGGACAGGGAGGCAGCUUGUGAAUUUUUGUUUUACUGUUUAACUUUAUUAAAAAAGAAAAAAAAAAGAGAAUAAAAUGUUUUGAC